CCUACGGGAGGCAGCAGUCGAGAAUCAUUCACAAUGGGGGAAACCCUGAUGGUGCGACGCCGCGUGGGGGAAUGAAGGUCUUCGGAUUGUAAACCCCUGUCAUGUGGGAGCAAAUUAAAAAGAUAGUACCACAAGAGGAAGAGACGGCUAAUUCUGUGCCAGCAGCCGCGGUAAUACAGAGGUCUCAAGCGUUGGUCGGAUUCACUGGGCGUAAGGGGUGCGUAGGCUGUCUAGUAAGUGGUGUGUGAAAGGCGGGGGCUCAACCCGCGAACGGCACAUGAUACUGGGAGACUAGAGUAAUGGAGGGGGAACCGGAAUGCUCGGUGUAGCAGUGAAAUGCGUAGAUAUCGAGAGGAACACUCGUGGCGAAGGCAGGUUCCUGGACAUUAACUGACGCUGAGGCACGAAGGCCAGGGGAGCGAAAGGGAUUAGAUACCCCUGUAGUC
rnacentral:rRNA from 1 species